CUUAUGAAUAUCAGCACAAAAAGAGUCAAUUAAAUUCUUGCAAACUGAAUCAAAGAACACAUCAAAAUGAUCAUCCACGAUGAUCAAGUAGGCUUCAUCCCAGGGAAGCAGGGAUAGUUCAACAUAUGGAAAUCAAUCAAGGUAAUCCACUAUGCUAAGAAAUUCAAGGAAAAUAAGCAGAUAAUGAUCUCAUAAGAUGCUGAGAAAACAUUUGACAAAAUUCAACAACACUUCAUGAUAAAAGUCCUGGAGAGAUCAAUAAUUCAAGGUCCGUAUCUAAGCAUAGUAAAAGCAAUAUACAGCAAACCAGUAGCUAACAUUAAACAAAAUGGAGAGAAACUUGAAGCAAUCCCACUAAAACCAGGGACAAGACAAGGCUUCCCACUCUCUCCCUACUUAUUCAAUAUAGUAUUCGAAGUCCUAGCCAGAGCACUCAGACAACAAAAGGUCAAAGGGAUACAAAUUGGAAAGGAAGAAGUCAAAAUAUCAUUAUUUGCAGAUCGUAUACUUAAGUGACCUCAAAAGUUCCACCAGAGAGCUACUAAGCCUGAUAAACAAUUUCAGCAAAGUGGCUGGGUAUAAAAUUAAAUAAAAAAAA
rnacentral:lncRNA from 1 species